rnacentral:lncRNA from 1 species
UCCCAUAUUAUCACUCACUGUUAUCUUACCUUUAAUAUUGUUCUUAUUAAAUUCUACCAUCUUUCCUUUUUACACUUAUUUACUUAUCUUGGUUAAGUUAGGGCAUAGAUCAGUUCUCCCGUUUCCAUGUGGAUACGAUAAAACCUUUAACCGGGUAAAAGCUUCAACGGUAUCUGUGCGCUUGCGGAUUAUCUGUGUGCGUAUAAAUACCAUAGUACACUCUAGUGCCAUGCUGGGGAUGACAACCUAGUACUCAAGUGGUGUUAGCAAGUGUCAACACUCUAUCAUCGAGCUUCUUCAUGAGCAGGUCUAGCUUUGCAGACAACAUGUCUACCUCCUUGAGCUGAUGCAUACCUCCACCUCUCUUGCGUGUCUGGGUCCUCUCUUCAUUCUAGCUUUGAUUGGACGCCAUCUUCUCCACAAGAGAUGCGGCUUGUGGUAUAGUAAGUGAUAAAAAUGCUCCUCCAGCUACAGCAUCCAUGGUCUCUCGGGCACUGUUGCCGAGCCCAUGAUAAAACGUCUAAAUCAAUAGCCAACUCUCCAUUCCAUGAUGGGGACAUUCUAGGAUGUAGUCUUGAAAGCGAUGCCAUGCUUCUGGAACAGAUUCAUCAUUUUGUUGCUGAAAACUUGUAAUCUUCCCACGGAGAGCAUUGGUCUUGCCCAUGGGAAAGAACUUAGCCAGGAAGUUUGUUGAGCAGAGUGCCCACGUAGUAUUCUUCUCCUUUGUAGCGUAGAACCACUGCUUCGCUCUUCCUAACAGUGAGAAUGGGAAGAGGUGAAGUAGUAUAGCAUCUUUGGAAACUCCUGAUAUGGUGAAUGUGUUGCAAAUCUCCAGGAAGUGCUGUAGAUGAGCACUAGCAUCUUCGUGUGCCUUCCCACAGAACUGGCUGGAUUGGACCAUGUUGAUAAGUCCAGGCUUGAGCUCAAAGUUGCCAUCGAUCUCUGCAGCAGGUCCAGUGCGGAUGUUGUCCGUAGUGGGAGCUGAGAACUCGCGGAUUGAUUUGUUUGCCAUGGCUUCGAACUCUAAAGACAAGUUCCGGUGAUCUUCUUGAUUAGAUGAAGCUUCUUGCUGAAGUGUUGAUGAUCUCUUCUUGAGCUUGGCUCUUGUCUUCUUGAAUAAUGCUUCGGGAUUGUCAACAAAAUUUCCUGGAAGAUGUCUUCUAUUCAUACAUUCCCCAGCAUAAGAUAAAAUAGAAAAAUAUCGGGGUAAAACUGUAUGAGAGAAUAGAUAAGUUCAAUAAUAUUAGUGAUGCGAAUGAUAACUCAAAAUCUUUUAUUUCAUUCCUGAUUAUUAAUCAACCUUCCCCGGCAACGGCGCCAAAAAUGCUUGUUGGGUAUUCUUAACAUCAUUACCAAAAGUAGACUUAGUUUUCUAAUUAUAGUAACGGUGCCAAAAAUGCCAAACCUAUCCCUCAUACCACUUAAGCCAAGUUGUCAUCCCCAGCAUGACAUGAGAGACGCGGUAUUGAAAUAUGCAAUUGCUCUUCUAAAUAAAUGAAUGGGAUCUGCAAGCGCACAGAUUAAUACCGAUGUAGCAUUUUAACCGGGAAGUAUUCCAGGUAUCGUUAUUUAUAUUUUUACCCCUAGGAAGGGAUUAGUGUUGACGGUCCUCAAGUACCAAAUAUAAUCAUCAAAUAAACAAAGAAAAGGAUCCAAAUGAAAUCAACAUCUAGACUUAGGGUUUUAUCUGACAGAAUUCCACAAGUUUUGGUGUUUGUCUAUUUCUACAGGGGGUUAUCAGGAAAUACGGAAGAAAGGCCCACACGUCGGGAUUACAUAGAGAUAUCAACGUGCCGCGCAAUUAUCUUACAUCUAGAAGACUCCAGAAGCCACAGGAAGGAAGUGUUGAUAUUUGGUAACGCAAUUAGAAAAUGAUCCGCAAGCGCACGGAUAUCGGUGAGCAUUUCACCCGGGAGAUUUUCCAGAGUAUCGUAUUUAUAUUUUUACCACUGGGAGAAAGGGUGCAUCUGACUAACCAAAUCUAUUGCUAUUACCCCUUUAGGCUACAAAGAAUGUUUCUCGAUGUGAGUGAUAUAUAGAGAAGACUGCAACCGUAGUCUCGUUCUAACCUUGGUAAGGAUGAUCUACUGUUCUAUUGGGGAGGCUCACGGAAUCUAGACAACACAAAGGAUGUUCGACCCGCACCUAUAAACCUACCCGUCCUGCUAACGAGAUGUGAUCUGCAAAGGUAACUUGGAAAUGUCACAUUCCUCGCUACUACCACGGUCCAGCUAGUCAGGGGAUAUCUAUGAGUACCCUAGCCUAAACACCACGUUUAUGCUAGCAAGUGUUACUCUAAUGCUCAACCGGAAGAGGAUUAAAGUAAACUCAUAAACCAAAGAACAAUAAAACAAGAACUUACUAGUAAUUAGUAGUCGAAUUACUGAAGAAUCUUAGAAGCAAGCCUCGGGUUAGGAGACUUGAUCCCGCAGGUACAACUCGGAGUAGACACUGACAGGCCGGCCUUCCUCCGAUCUACACCUCCACUCUAUCUCUCUCAAUCUAGUAGAAACUAGAAGAUCUAUUUCUACUUUACAUUGGUUGCUAAGCCUAAAAAGAAAUAUUAUUUAGAGAAGAGGUUUUCCUUCGAGGGCACCCCUCAAUCUCUAUGAUAAUUUCUUCAUGUCUUCUCCAGGGGCCAGGGGGGUCUCCUUAUAUAGUCGUCCCCUUCUAUGCGUUUUUGGGUCGGUAGGCGAGGUGGUACUACGUUAUUCUGGAUCCAAUAGGUCGGUGGAGAUCUCCCGAGAAAAAGAGUCCUGAUUGGGCCCGGCAGGUGGGCGGGCGCCCAAGGAAACUGGGCGGGCGCCCAGGUCCUGGCCCCGUUUUGCCUCCGCUUCGGUCUCGUGGCUUUUGGAGUCUUCUUGAUGGUAGAAAAUUGCGCGAUGCGUUGAUAUCUCUAUGUAAUCCUGACAUGUGGGCCUUUCUUCCUUAUUUCCUGAUAACCCCCUGCAGAAAUAGACAAACACCAAAACUCGUGGAAUUCUGUUAGAUAAAACCCUAAGUCUAGGUGUUGGUUGCAUUUGGAUCCUUUUCUUUAUUUAUUUGAUGAUUAUAUUUGAUACUUAAGGACCGUCAACAAACUCCCCCAAGCUUACCUCUUGCUCGUCCCUGAGCAAGGAUGAACUCAAGAGUUUCUGCAGUGGUUUCAUGCCUUAAAAGUACACACGCAUUCAAGCAAGAUCUCAUCUCUGAGUUAGAAUAAACUGUUAAGACUUAAAACUUACUCAUUUUACCUUUCACCAUGGGGCUUGUAACCGUCACUUGUGUCUUGAGCAGUUAAAAGAUAGAACGGUCAAGUCAAGCGCCAUGUCUCUUAUUCUUGAUCAGCUAUAGAUCUGGGGUUUUUGCAGAUUUUCAAAUAAAACUCAGAGAUUCCUUAUAUGACUCUUUCAGAUCUCUCUUUUGUGGUAUUUCUGGAUCCUUACCAAGGCAGUAAUGAUAUAUGCCUUCUCUCAAAGUAUGUGGUAUUUUUGGUAUGAGGCAUAGUGAUAUUGCCUUCUCUCUCACCCUACUCUAAUAAGGUUUUGAUAUCUGGAGCUCAUAGGUGGGAGACAACUAAUACAUACUUACAAGACAUUUAUUGCAUAGUCAAACCAUGGAUCCAGAGAAACAAGUCAAUAAGUCAAAUCAAGAUGUGCAUGUGUGGCGAAUGAAUGGUGUAUUGUGAUGAUGGUGAUAAUAAUGGUGAAAGUCUAAUUCUACUUUUGCUCUUUUGAGGGGAUACAUACCUUUCUUGCACUUUGAAGCUUUUUGAGGAGAAUGAGAUGCUCUAUAUUUUCUCUUUUUUUUCUCAGGUGGGUAGCUUUGUACCCCUAAUUCUACUAUCGGACACUUGUCCAUUUUUACCUCUCGUCUCACUUUUUCUUUUCUUCGAGGUUCCGGGCACUUGCCCCUUUUUAUUUCCUCGUAUUUUUUUUCUUUUUCUUUUUUUCUCUAGAGCACUCAUCUCCUGAAAUAAUAUAGCAAGUGGUAGUAACCAUGAUUACUCGAGCAUUUAUUUCACAGGGAAUAACAGGGAUAGGAAAAUAUUUUUGGCUAUUCUCUCUUGGAUUAGGAGUAGAAUAAUUUCGGGUGAAUGUGGAGAUGGAAAUGAGCGGAUAUAUGUGGAUGGUACUUCCGGAGUAGAAGUAGCAUGUAUGAGUGAACGUGCAAGUGAAUCUUGAUUUUAACCACAUGACAAGCUCCUAAGGGUCUACACAGCUUGACCACACUCAAUGCUCAUAAGCAGUAAAAAGUAAAUGUGUGGCUCAAAGUCUAAUAAGCAUGUAUAUAUGGCUGUGGUAGGAUUUUAAACUCUCAUCAUACAGGAACUCAUCAUGUGAUAUUUUAAAGAUUUUUCAAAGAUAAAAUUCUCCAGAAUUCUAGCAUCUCUAGGAACAGAUAAACAGCAGCUCAACCUUCCCAUAUCAUAUCCGCUAAUGACUUAGACUUUAGAUCAAGUACUCUUCGCAAAAGUUCAGGUUUAGAGCAAAUCUUACUUCAUAACAGUCAUGCCUAAACUUGAGAGAGAUUUCAAUUUUAAGAACUAGUCAUGGCAGAGCAACUAUUCAUCAUUUCCAUGUGAGAGUUUAUCAUGAGUGUUCAUAGCAAACUUUAUUUGUUUAUUUAUUUAGCAAACUAAGCAAAGAUAUAUAUAUAUAUAUAUAUAAAAGCACAAAAUCUUUAUUUGGGUUUUCAUGAUUAUGCAUCUUUUAUUAUUUGAGUAAAGUAUAAACGCGAGUAGAAACACUUAGCUGGAUAAAUGGGGGUGCUCUCCCCCAAGCUGGAUUUUGACGUACUUUCUUCUGAUGUAGCUAGCAGGUGGUGGAGGUGUAUUUGAAUGUCGGCAGCACCCUGACAUCGAUUAGGAUGUCCUCCGUCUGCUAGUCUUCUUUGAUCCUUGAAUUCUGUGGAGCUCAAAUAGAGAACAAAGCUUUGUGGAACUGGUUAAGUGUUAGCAUAAAUAUCUAGCCUUUAUCAUGUUGAGCCUCCUCAAUAAAUGUUACUUAUUUAGCAGGAUCAUGCACUUCUUAUUUUUAUAUUUUUUUAUUGUAAGAUGAAAACUUAUUUAUUUUAUUUUUAUGCCACCACAGUGAAUGUACUUAUGGGUUUUAUGCCAUGAGCAUACUCACAUGGGGCUUACUACUUUUUUAACAUUUUUAUUUUCUUUUCAAGAUAGCAUGAACCUGAUUAACUAAAUAAUUGAAAGGGAUAGGAUAACUACCAAGUUUACCUCUUGGCAAGGCGUUCGGUAUUUUUAAGUCCUCUGAACGGGACUCUCCAUUUUCUCAAUUGUCCUGGGAUUUGCUGGAUGGCGUAGUCGGUGGUUCCGGUGGCACCUCCUCUUCAUGUAUAACUAUCUUCUCUCUUUGACUCGAUGCUACAGUCUCCUCAGGACAGUUCUGUUCAAGCUAUAUGUCUUCAGACCUUAUCACUUCUCCUUUGUAGUCUACCCAUCCGUCCUUGAUGAUUUGCCCCCUCUGGUUGCGGUUGUGUUGUCUUCUUCUUGUCCUGACCUGCUUAGAAUCUUCAACUAUAUAGUUAGAAUCAUUAAAGUAGUGGCGUACCUUCUCAGAGGGGAAGUGUAUGUGGACUUCUCCGGUUCCAAUAUAGAUGAUGGCUUUGAUAGUGUUGAGGAAUGGUCUUCCAAGGAUGCUGGGUGGAUCAUACUCGUCUUCUCCUAUGUCAAUGAAAAUGAUCUGGAGUUGAAUGUAUAUUGGUUGUAGGGGCAUGGUUCCAUGCAGGAGCUGGUAAGUGACUGCGGCCAUUAUGUUGUCGCUAGAUCUGGUGUCGUAGAGUGUCUUCUGAAAAAGUAUCUGUUGAUUGUGCACUCAAUGCUUGGAACACCAGGGUCGUCCUUCUUGAUCACGAAAGGUGACUUGAGUCGACGAUCUUGACCUCCUUGAACUGCAGUGACCAUCUUAGCUGACUCGGUCCACAUUUGCUUGUUCCUGUUCCUCCUGUUGGUCCUCUUCCUUGGUUCAUGUCGGGAUUGCUCUAAAGUUUGUGUAGUCUUGUUCUUGAAGGAAAGUCUCCUUUUCCCCCUUGAUGUAGAAACUGAUCUUGGCAGCAUUAGCGUAGAUGACAGCUCUGGUGUUUAGGAAUGGUCUCCCUAAGAUGAUAGGUGCCCUCUCCUCACUACUAGUCUCUAUCACCACGAAGUUUGUUGGAGUGUACAAGGUACCAACUCGGACACAGAUGUUCUUCCAUAUUUCCUUUGGGAAACUAAGUGUCUGAUCUCCAUUGUGUUUGUGCUCGUAGAUCCCGGUUCUUCACUUGAUGGAAUCUGGGAGUUGUAAAACUCCUUCAGGUUUUGUUCGAAGUGUACCUGCUCAUAGAGACAAGGCAGAGAUCAAGUGCAUGGGCCCUGUUGGUGGAAAACACCAACAGAACCAAAAGUGUAUUUGUUCUUCUCUAACCUUAAGCAUAGUGAGCAAGACAAAGUUGAUGGAUCAUGAGUGUAGCAUUUAAAACAUUUGUUAGAUCAGAUGGCUCAACCUAAUGGAAAGAUAAUCUAUCUAUAUUUAUGUUUUGUUUAUAUCUUCCAAAGAUUGAAUGUGCAAUACUUUAGCUUAUAUGAUUAGGAGUGUGGGGUCACGAAGGUAGUACUAAGAACAAAGAUUAAAGGACUAAACAUGUUGAAUUAAUUGAUUUGGUUAAUUUGGAGUUACAGAUCAUACAUGUUUGUCUCUUUAUUUGUGAAUGCAAGAACCAAGGAGAAGCUUACAAAAGCGAUAGUCAAGUACCUUAAGAUGUUACCUUAAUUGAAGAGUGAUGGUAUAGUAUCACCUUGUGGAACCUUUCCUUUCUUGGCGGUUGUGCAUCGUGGUUGUGGCACCCUCCAUGGAUCAUCUCUUUAUGAUGAGUGAGCUAUGUCUUCCUUGUGCAAGUCAUUAAAUUUCAUGUGUCUCCUUUAUCUCCAAUGUGAGUUUGUAUCUCAGGACUUCCCAAAUUGAUAUUGAAUGUUUUUCUGCAGGGGUUAGUCCGAAAAAAUAUACCAAUGUCUACACAAGCAGUUUUUAGUUCAAUAACCAAACUAGACUCCAUGUCUAAUUAGAUUAAGGAAGGCUAUUUAACCUAAGCACCACGCCUAAUUUAAAUGCCAAUGGAAGUAUGUCCAGUACUUCCAAACCAACACUUACUUAAGAUAAACAUAGGUAGCAUGAUGGCAUUUAUAGAGAUCUACUCAAAUGGAGAUGAAGUAGUGUGACUAGUAUUUAACAAAUCAAGCAUGUCUCAAAGGUAAAGACAACCAACAUAGCAACAUGGCAAAGGAUGUUUUUAUGUAAAGUACUCCCCCAAGCUUGAAUUUUGCAAAAUUCAAGUUUGGAUGAAUUUAAUUCAAUGUUGUAUGAUGGUUGGUUGGACAUACCUUGUGCUUGUCAUUCAUCCGAUCUUCUUGCUCCAAUCCUGGAAAGGUUAGUGGCAAGAAUACCCGAAGGAAUAUCUCAAUAUGCUCAAUACACAAGGCAGUGUUGCAAAUAAUUAAAAGUUCAUGUUACCAUCUGAUAAGUGCUUGUUUAAGGACGCUAAGCUUAUCCUUGGGAAACCAUCAAGUUAUGUUGGUGAAGUGGUUUCCCCUCCAACACCUACCUAUAUCAAGAUCAACUCAACGAGAUCUGCAAUAUUUAUUAUAGACAUAUGCAUCGACAACCGCCCUUUUAAAGUUUUUAUAAAUAGAAAAGAAGAGGGGGUUGGAGAUCCCAAAUGUGGUAAGGAUGGAGAGACCAAUUGAUUGGGGAGAUGUUUUAUAUGAGCAAGGACUUGGUAAGGUAUUUAUGAAAUAACUUCCAUGCUCACUGUUGUUUCUCUCAUUCUCAAACUCCAAGGAUGAUUCUUCAUGAAUGCUUAAAAUUCCUCUAGGAUUGUCUCUCAAGUUUGUUUUAUUUAUCCAUUCAAUGGUGAUAGCACAUGGGUUUUUAAUGCUCUUUAGCCAUUGAUGUUGCUCUUCUCGAUCCUCCUUCUUAUGCAUGGGAUGUCUAGAGAGAUUCAUAGGAUUAUCGGGAGGUUCAAGAGAAAGAGCAUAGUAGAAUUUAUUAAGCUUAAGGAUGGGUUGGAUAGCCGAAUCAUGGGAUUGAAUUGUUUGGAAAUCAGCUAUUGAAACUUCCUCUCCUUGUAUGGGAGAUGAUUCCUUCUCUAUCUCUAAGAUUUUUCUAUGAAGACUAGUACGAUAAGGAUGUCCACAAAUGAAGACAUACCUUCCUUUACUAAUAGAUAAAGAAAGAAAGACUCUACCAAUGGUUAUAUGAUUAAGACCAAUGUAAAAAUAUCGAGAAAAAUCAUGGUCUUGUUGGGCUAGGUCUAAACCAAAAUGUAUAGAAAGAUUAAUAGAUUCCCAAGGUGUAGCUAAAAGUGCAUUAUCUUCUUGAUUAAAAGAUAGGACCUCGGCUAUAGAAAAGGGUUGGUUUUGACCUAUUGCAAUCAACUCCGGACACAGAUCAUAAUUAGGGGCAGGACGUGUUGACUCCCAUGGUCUAUGGCUGGUCUCCAAAGGUGCAAAGAAUUUAAUAAUAGGUAUGGAAUUUAGGUUAUCCUUAAAGAUAAAAAUAAAAAGAUAAAAGAAUAAAAGUAUAAAAGUAUAAUACAAGAUAAUAGCAAGACUCAAAGUUAUCUCAGCAAACUGUCUUUCUCCCCGGCAACGACGCCAGACAUGCUUGUUGAUAUUUGGUAACGCAAUUAGAAAAUGAUCCGCAAGCGCACGGAUAUCGGUGAGCAUUUCACCCGGGAGAUUUUCCAGAGUAUCGUAUUUAUAUUUUUACCACUGGGAGAAAGGGUGCAUCUGACUAACCAAAUCUAUUACUAUUACCCCUUUAGGCUACAAAGAAUGUUUCUCGAUGUGAGUGAUAUAUAGAGAAGACUGCAACCGUAGUCUCGUUCUAACCUUGGUAAGGAUGAUCUACUGUUCUAUUAGGGAGGCUCACGGAAUCUAGAUAACACAAAGGAUGUUCGACCCGCACCUAUAAACCUACCCGUCCUGCUAACGAGAUGUGAUCUGCAAAGGUAACUCGGAAAUGUCACGUUCCUCGCUACUACCACGGUCCAGCUAGUCAGGGGAUAUCUAUGAGUACCCUAGCCUAAACACCACGUUUAAGCUAGCAAGUGAUUACUCUAAUGCUCAACCGGAAGAGGAUUAAAGUAAACUCAUAAACCAAAGAACAAUAAAACAAGAACUUACUAGUAAUUAGUAGUCGAAUUACAGAAGAAUCUUAGAAGCAAGCCUCGGGUUAGGAGACUUGAUCCCGCAGGUACAACUUGGAGUAGACACCGACAGGCCGGCCUUCCUCCGAUCUACACCUCCACUCUAUCUCUCUCAAUCUAGUAGAAACUAGAAGAUCUAUUUCUACUUUACAUUGGUUGCUAAGCCUAAAAAAGAAAUAUUCUUUAGAGAAUAGGUUUUCCUUCGAGGGCACCCCUCAAUCUCUAUGAUAAUUUCUUCAUGUCUUCUCCAGGGACCAGGGGGGUCUCCUUAUAUAGUCCUCCCCUUCUAUGCGUUUUUGGGUCGGUAGGCGAGGUGGUACUAUGUUAUUCUGGAUCCAAUAGGUCGGUGGAGAUCUCCCGAGAGAAAGAGUCCUGAUUGGGCUCGGCAGGUGGGCGGGCGCCCAAGGAAACUGGGCGGGCGCCCAGGUCCUGGCCCCGUUUGUCCUGGCCCCGUUUCGCCUCCGCUUCGGUCUCGUGGCUUCUAGAGUCUUCUAGAUGGUAGAAAAUUGCGCGAUGCAUUGAUAUCUCUAUGUAAUCCUGACAUGUGGGCCUUUCUUCCUUAUUUCCUGAUAACCCCCUGCAGAAAUAGACAAACACCAAAACUCGUGGAAUUCUGUCAGAUAAAACCCUAAGUCUAGGUGUUGGUUGCAUUUGGAUCCUUUUCUUUAUUUAUUUGAUGAUUAUAUUUGAUACUUAAGGACCGUCAACAGGAAGCGGAGGCCGAACGGGGCCAGAGGCAGGGCGCCCGCCCUCCUUCCCUGGGCGCCCGCCCUCCUUCCCUGGACUCUCUUUCGGGACGAUGUUCCACCGACCUAAAGGAUCAAGAAUAACCGUUCAAUCAAUGUCGGUUUGAUCCGACGGCCCAGGUUCACUUGAGGGGACUAUAUAACCAGACCCCCUGGCCCCUGGAAGAGGCACCCCUUGAUCAUUAUUCAUUAUUCAUAGACAGAGCAAAAGCUAGGGUUUAGAGAUGAGAGCUCUCCUCUCUUCUCUAAACUAGAGUAGAUCUAGAUAGUAGCGAGAUGGAGAGCGAGGGAGGAUUGGAGGAGAGGCCGGCCUAUCGGUUCUUCCUCCGGUUGUACUUCGUCAUGAUCAAGCUCUAAUCAAGCUUGCUCAUGGGAUGACUCUGGUAAUCUACUUCUAAUUCAUUAUGCAAUUACUAAUUAUGUAUGUUCUGGUUCACAACUCUUUUAAGUAUUCUAAUCUAUAGGAGGCUAUAGGUGAGAGUUGUAGUAUAGGUGUAAGCGAGGUGCUUAGAUCUAGAUUACUUGUGAAUAUCCCCUGUCUAGCUGGAUCAUGUGGUAGGCCGCGUAGGUGAUAGUUACGUUGGUCCUCUGUAGUCCACCUCUCGUUAGCAGGACGGGUAGGGUUUAUCGGCCUAAGGAUAAGCAUCCUUUGUGGUGUACUCUUAUCACAUGGUUCGUCCCAGACAUAGACAUACCCCUUUGAAGUAGAGAAACCAUAGUUAUUGUCUCUAUUCUGCUACCAUCGCCCAUAUACUAGAAUUGCUCUAUUCUCUAUUCCCAUAUUAUCACUCACUGUUAUCUUACCUUUAAUAUUGUUCUUAUUCGAUUCUACCAUCUUUCCUAUUUACACUUAUUUACUUACCUUGGUUAAGUUAGAGCAUAGAUUAGUUCCCCCGUUUCCCUGUGGAUACGACAAAACCUUUAACCGGGUAAAAGCUAUAACGGUUUUCGUGCGCUUGCGGAUUAUCUGUGUGCGUAUAAAUACCAUAGUACACUCUAGUGCCAUGUUGGGGAUGACAACCAAGUAUUCAAGUGGUGUUAGCAAGUGUAAACAAGCGUUUUUGGUGCCGUUGCCGGGGAGACGGUUGCUGAGUUGACUACAAACUAGCUUAAUCAUAUUCUAAAAAAAAUAAAUAAAAAAAUAUUUUCCUUUUAUCCUUUGCCUCAUCUCUGCUAAUCUUUCUUCUUAUCUAAUCCUUGAUCUCUGGUCUAUCAUGAAUUCAAACAUGUCUAUCUAUGAAUUUCAUAGACCUACGGGCACACAUCUCGAACCACUAAAAUCUUCAAAGCCUAUCAUAGCAUCUAGUUUUGAGAUAGACCCCGAAUACAUAGAAUUUUUUCAAAAACAACCUUUCUCAGGAGAAGGUGAAGAAAAAUCAUACACACACCU